AGAGUUUGAUCCUGGCUCAGAUUGAACGCUGGCGGCAUGCCUUACACAUGCAAGUCGAACGGUAACAGGGUGCUUGCUCCGCUGACGAGUGGCGAACGGGUGAGUAAUAUAUCGGAACGUGCCCUGGAGUGGGGGAUAACUAGUCGAAAGAUUAGCUAAUACCGCAUACGAUCUAAGGAUGAAAGUGGGGGAUCGCAAGACCUCAUGCUCGUGGAGCGGCCGAUAUCUGAUUAGCUAGUUGGUGGGGUAAAAGCCCACCAAGGCGACGAUCAGUAGCUGGUCUGAGAGGACGACCAGCCACACUGGGACUGAGACACGGCCCAGACUCCUACGGGAGGCAGCAGUGGGGAAUUUUGGACAAUGGGCGCAAGCCUGAUCCAGCAAUGCCGCGUGAGUGAAGAAGGCCUUCGGGUUGUAAAGCUCUUUUGUCAGGGAAGAAACGGUGCGGGCUAAUAUCCUGUGCUAAUGACGGUACCUGAAGAAUAAGCACCGGCUAACUACGUGCCAGCAGCCGCGGUAAUACGUAGGGUGCGAGCGUUAAUCGGAAUUACUGGGCGUAAAGCGUGCGCAGGCGGUUAUGUAAGACAGAUGUGAAAUGCCCGGGCUUAACCUGGGAACUGCAUUUGUGACUGCAUGGCUAGAGUGUGUCAGAGGGGGGUAGAAUUCCACGUAGCAGUGAAAUGCGUAGAUAUGUGGAGGAAUACCGAUGGCGAAGGCAGCCCCCUGGGAUAACACUGACGCUCAUGCACGAAAGCGUGGGGAGCAAACAGGAUUAGAUACCCUAGUAGUCC
rnacentral:rRNA from 1 species